rnacentral:rRNA from 7 species
CCUUAGAUGUCCUGGGCUGCACGCGCGUUACACUGACGGAGCCAGCGAGUACUUCCUUGUCCGAAAGGUCCGGGUAAUCUUGUUAAACUCCGUCGUGCUGGGGAUAGAGCAUUGCAAUUAUUGCUCUUCAACGAGGAAUCCCUAGUAAGCGCAAGUCAUCAGCUUGCGUUGAUUACGUCCCUGCCCUUUGUACACACCGCCCGUCGCUACUACCGAUUGAAUGGCUUAGUGAGGCGUUCGGACUGGUCCAGGGAGGUGGGCAACUACCACCCAGGACCGGAAAGUUCUCCAAACUUGGUCAUUUAGAGGAAGUAAAAGUCGUAACAAGGUCUCCGUUGGUGAACCAGCGGAGGGAUCAUUA